CGCCGCCACGGGAAUACGUAGGUGGCAAGCGUUGUCCGGAUUUAUUGGGCGUAAAGCGAGCGCAGGCGGUUUCUUAAGUCUGAUGUGAAAGCCCCCGGCUCAACCGGGGAGGGUCAUUGGAAACUGGGAGACUUGAGUGCAGAAGAGGAGAGUGGAAUUCCAUGUGUAGCGGUGAAAUGCGUAGAUAUAUGGAGGAACACCAGUGGCGAAGGCGGCUCUCUGGUCUGUAACUGACGCUGAGGCUCGAAAGCGUGGGGAGCAAACAGGAUUAGAUACCCCAGUAGUCCCUGUCUCUUAUACC
rnacentral:rRNA from 1 species